ACUGCGGCAGCCAGGGCCUCCUGUCCAUCUGGCUAUUUCCUCAUUGCAUCUGAUUGAACUAUUUUGUGCUUCUCUAAGACCCAGGAAAGUGUGGAAUUCUGAAUUAUGGUCCUGGGCUGCCCGUAUCACACCUGAAUGUGCUUGGCAAGAAGAGGGCACUCAGCCAUUGAAAAUCGCUUCAAGUUUUCCUGGGCAGUAAAUGGAUGUAUGACAUGAAAAAUACUCAAGAAUGGGCAUUCACAACUCUUCUUCACUUAGAAGAAUUCACAGCAUUUUUUUCCACCUUGAGGACUUCUGUAUACUCUAGAUGCUAGUAAAGAUUCAAAAGAUUGACAAUGAUUUCUUGGAUGUUGGACCGAUGUUUCACUGAAUGAGGUAGCAUCCCAUAAUCCCUUGCAAGGGAGGGGAGUCCCCGGAAAUGAGGCACAGGCCCCCACAGGAGGGGGUGCUGCACUGAGUGGGGAACAGGAGAGGUCCCCUUCCUCAUGUGCAUUUUUGCCACCACAGGCGAGACCUUGGAGCAUGCAAGUUCAGCCAUGGGAAGGCGGGUCACCUUCCUGGAGGAAAGACCUAAUUCCCAGGUACUGUGGCUCAUUGGCUAUUUUGGAUACCUCUGGUCACUGGUUCUGUUGUGGCUCAGGGAUGUUCUGCUUGGAAUGAAUAAGCAGAGUGCCGGGAGGUGCAUCCACACUCUGUAGGGGACCCUAGGAAGGAAGAGAAUCUCAGCAGAUAAAAACUUAAUGGUCUGCAAUUUGAAAAAAUAAGAUGUAUCACAGUGGAGGUGGCUCUUUUCUUGUGUUUGGGUCAAGGAAUCAGAAUUUAAGAUUUCAAAAAUUUUUCUACGACAAAGCAGUGGUUUGAGUGUAAAAAAUGGCCAGAUAUAUAGAAGAGGGGCUGCUCUCUAGAUGAAAGAGAAAUAUAUCUGUUGUCCCUUAUUUAUUCAUGCAUUCAUUCAUUUUGCAAAUUUGUACUGAGUACCCACACAGUGGGUGUUGGGGGUACAGUGGUGAAUAAGAGCAUCCUAGACUCUGUCUCCUACCCAGGAGUUUAUAGUCUUGUGGGGAAUAGACAUUAAGGCCAGCAGAGCCUAGUGUGAUGCAUGAUUUUGAACAGGAAAGUAGAGGGAACAUGGGAGCCUCUAACAUUACAGAGCCCCUUACAGACUGAGAGGUUCUGUAAGACAUGUUUGAGAAAGUGACCAUUAAUUUGAAGGUUGAAUUUGGGAAUUGGAGUUCAUCAGAUAAAACAGAGGAGGGUUCCAGGAAGUGGCAGUAGUGUGUUUUAGCCUCAGAGGGGAAGACU